AGUCGUAACAAGGUUUCCGUAGGUGAACCUGCGGAAGGAUCAUUGUCGAAACCUGCCCAGCAGAGCGACCAGCGAACAUGUUUAACUCUCUCGGGUGCAGGGGGAUGUGGGUAGCUUUGCUCCUACUCCUCCCGCGCUUGAGCCGGGGUGUAGGCCUCUUGUGGGCUUCCUCCUUGGCAUCUCAACGAACCCCGACGUGAAAAGCGUCAAGGAACAUAAACAACAUAUGAGCUUGCUCUUGCUGCCCGGUUAGCCGGUGCACGUAGGUGUAGGGCCAUGUCAUAACAUUAAACGACUCUCGGCAACGGAUAUCUCGGCUCUC
rnacentral:misc_RNA from 1 species